GUUAGAACUUUCACAUGUGCACAGAGUGAAUAUGCUGUGUCUGUAUUUCUUUCCUCCUGGGGCCUUAGGAACACUUUCAAUCUAGCGGCGAGGUGGCGCGCAUGCGCGCGCCGGGUGGGGGACACCCCGGUCCCACGGCUCCGUGGGCCUCGUCGUCUAUCUCCGGUGGGGGGAUGGGGCGAGCGCCGCGGGAGCGGGGCCGGACGAGGUGGUAGCGAGUGCGCCCUCCUGGGCUCGCCGCCAGUGGCACCGGCUCUAGCACCGGACGCCGCCCGCCCGCGUCGGAGCACGAGGACGGGAGCGCGUGGUGUGAGCAGCUGGAGCACACUCUGGGCGCGCGGGCGGCUCCCGGACUUCAACAGGAGCGCUAGGUGGCGCUAGUGGUAAAGAACCCGUCUGCCAGUGCAAGAGAUGUAAGAGACACGGGUUUGAUCCCUGGGUCUGGAAGAUCCCCUGGAAGAGAGCAUGGCAAUCCAGUCUGGUAUUCUUGCCUAGAGAAUCCCAUGGACAGAGGAGACUGGCAUGCUACAGUCCAUGAGGCUGCAAAAAGUUGGACACAACUGAAGCGACUUAGCACAGCACAGCAGCAUACUUGUUUAAGGCAUACAAGAUCCUAGUUCUCUGGCCAAGGAUGGAAGCCACAGUCCCCUGCAUUAGAAGCAUGGAGUCUCAACCACCGGACCACCAAGGAAGUCUCAGACAGCUGGUUAUUUUAGAGGAAGGAUUAUCCAGACUUCAUGAUGGGGAAACCCUAAAUUGAAAGCGUCUAGAUUCAAUCCUAAAGUGUAAGUGCAUAUUAUUUUUGCUAAUUUCCGGAUGUCUUGGUUUGUCCACUGAAAUCCUGACUGUUGAACUAGAUAGGUAAAUACCUGCCAAAGCAGAUUGUGUGAUCUUAAGCAAUUUUCAGGAUGGAAAAUAUCAAUUGCUCAAGCUAGAAGGGAAAAGGAAUGAUCAUUCAUAGGGUGCUUACUAUGUGCUGGUUGUUUUAUACAUAUUAUCUCACUGGAUCAUCACAAGAAUCCUGGGAAGUAGGAGUUACACCCAUUGAGAUUCAGAGCAGUUACCUGUUGUAUUUUUUUAGCUUACUGUAAUUUUGGCCAAGGUCACAAAUCUAUUAAAAUAAUAAAAAAUUA
ensembl:lncRNA